UACGAAGGGGGCUAGCGUUGUUCGGAAUCACUGGGCGUAAAGCGCACGCAGGCGGGUCGUUAAGUCAGGGGUGAAAUCCCGAGGCUCAACCUCGGAACUGCCUUUGAUACUGGCGACCUUUGAGUCCGGGAGAGGUGAGUGGAACUCCGAGUGUAGAGGUGAAAUUCGUAGAUAUUCGGAAGAACACCAGUGGCGAAGGCGGCUCACUGGCCCGGUACUGACGCUCAUGUGCGAGAGCGUGGGGAGCAAACAGG
rnacentral:rRNA from 1 species